rnacentral:rRNA from 1 species
AUUGAACGCUGGCGGCAUGCUUUACACAUGCAAGUCGAACGGUAACAGGCCUUCGGGUGCUGACGAGUGGCGAACGGGUGAGUAAUGCAUCGGAGCGUGCCCAGAGGUGGGGGAUAACGCAGCGAAAGCUGUGCUAAUACCGCAUGUGAUCUGAGGAUGAAAGCGGGGGACCAGGCAGCAAUGUUUGGCCUCGCGCCUUUGGAGCGGCCGAUGUCAGAUUAGGUAGUUGGUGGGGUAAAGGCCUACCAAGCCGACGAUCUGUAGCUGGUCUGAGAGGACGACCAGCCACACUGGGACUGAGACACGGCCCAGACUCCUACGGGAGGCAGCAGUGGGGAAUUUUGGACAAUGGGCGCAAGCCUGAUCCAGCAAUGCCGCGUGCGGGAAGAAGGCCUUCGGGUUGUAAACCGCUUUUGUACGGAACGAAAAGGCUCUGGCUAAUACCUGGGGCUGAUGACGGUACCGUAAGAAUAAGCACCGGCUAACUACGUG